AAGCUCGUAGUUGAAUUUCGGGAUCAGUAUGUUGGUCGUGCUUCGGUACGUACUGUCAUUACUGGUUUCUCCCUUCUGAAGAACCUUGAUGUCAUUAAUUUGGUGUCUUGGGGAAUCAGGACUGUUACUUUGAAAAAAUUAGAGUGUUUAAAGCAAGCAUACGCUUGAAUACAUUAGCAUGGAAUAAUGAAAUAGGACGUUUGAUUCUAUUUUGUUGGUUUCUAGGAUCGACGUAAUGAUUAAUAGGGAUAGUUGGG
rnacentral:rRNA from 1 species